GGACAAACAGCAUGUUAAUAUUUUGUAGAAAAGCCAUUAUUGGCCAGCACAGAUGUCAAACGGUUUUUAUAGUUGGUGACAAGGUUUGUGCACAUUUCGGCAGGGAUGUUGUCGCCUGGCAACUCGAAUUUUAAGCUCCCUCCAAAGAUUUUCAAUUGGAUUCAGGUCUGGAGACUGGCUAGGCCACUCCAGAACCUUGAUGUGCUUCUUCAGCCACACUUUUGUUGCUUUGGCGGUGUGCUUAGGGUCGUUGUCGUGCUGAAACACCCAUCCUCGACCCAUCUUCAGCUCUCUCCCUGAGGAAAGGAGAUGUUGGUCCAGAAUUCCACGAUACAUGGCCCCGUCCAUCCUCCCCUCAAUACGAUGGAGUUGUCCCGUCCCCUUGGCUGAAAAGCACCCCCAAAGCAUGAUGUUGCCACCACCAUGCUUGACGGUGGGGAUGGUGUUCUUUGGGUUGUACUCGGUGUUCUUUGCCCUCCAAACACGACGAGUUGAGUUGAGGCCAAAAAGUUCUAUUUUGGUCUCAUCUGACCACAUCACCUUCUUCCAGGCCUCUUCUGAGUCGUCCAGGUGGUGAAUGGCGAACUUCAUGCAGGCCUGUACAUGUUUCUUCUUGAGCAGGGGGACCUUGCGUGCGCUGCAAGAUUUCAAUCCAUGACGGCGUAGUGUGUUACCAAUCGUUUCUUUUGUAACUGUGGUCCCAGCUGCCUUCAGUUGAUUCAUCAGUUCCCCCCUUGUGGUUUUGGGAUGAUUCCUCACCGUUCGCAUGAUCAGGGACACC